rnacentral:rRNA from 1 species
AUUGAACGCUGGCGGCAUGCUUUACACAUGCAAGUCGAACGGUAACAGGGUGCUUGCACCGCUGACGAGUGGCGAACGGGUGAGUAAUGCGUCGGAACGUGCCGAGUAGUGGGGGAUAACGCAGCGAAAGUUGUGCUAAUACCGCAUACGUACUGAGGUAGAAAGUGGGGGACCUUCGGGCCUCACGCUAUUCGAGCGGCCGACGUCUGAUUAGCUAGUAGGUGAGGUAAAGGCUCACCUAGGCGACGAUCAGCAGCGGGUCUGAGAGGAUGAUCCGCCACACUGGGACUGAGACACGGCCCAGACUCCUACGGGAGGCAGCAGUGGGGAAUUUUGGACAAUGGGCGAAAGCCUGAUCCAGCCAUGCCGCGUGUCUGAAGAAGGCCUUCGAGUUGUAAAGGACUUUUGUCAGGGAGGAAAUCCCUAGUGCUAAUAACACUGGGGGAUGACAGUACCUGAAGAAUAAGCACCGGCUAACUACGUGCCAGCCGCCGCAGUAA